GAACAAUGUGUUAUAAGAAUAUUUGGUUUUGUAUAAAAGAAAACAAACAGACACCGACAGCAACACAUACAAAUAAGUAAUGCCUGAUAAUGCGCAAGUACUGUAUCACUGCCGCUUUAGGCGCUGGUCCAUAUGCUGAAUGAGAAAGAAAAUAAGCGGAUGUUAAAAAAAAACGCUAACCCAUACAAGAUGGGUGAAAAUUUGGACACUGCAGCGACAGGCUAGAGGUCAAGUUAGCUAGAUAUUUAUCCAACAUUAGCAAGCUAAGUAGCAAACAUUUCCGCAAUACCAUUGCUUUUACUUUCAAAGAACAUAUGGGAUUCUCUCCGAACUCACAAGCUUCCCUCUUCGUGAAGGAUAUGGAUGCAUCAGAUGACAUCCCCUCAUCUAUUGCAGAGAACUACCUCAGGCCGAGUGUGAGUAACAGCGGGGACAACAGUAAUGAGCCUGACUUGCAGGUUCAGAAGUGAGACAGCUCUGCAGUUUCAGCUACAUUUCYCCUAGAAGAGAAAUUUGGAGAAAGUGUCAGACCUUCCAGCGUGAACAGACAGUUGUUUCGUGUUACUGGGAUUCUAAUUUAUAUUUUCUAUAGUUCUUUAUUUUUAUACCCAGUGACUAGCAUAGUGAAACAAAUCUACUCCAUUGMGAUUCCAAGCUACGAUAGUACACUUGAGUGGCAAGGAAGAGACGGAAAACAAAAUUCCAAUGAUAUUUAUUAUCAAAACACCUCAGAACAAAAAGCAAUGAAGUGAAGCAUUAAGUAAAAUAAAGAAAUACAAUUGUCACAAAAAAAAAUGCACAGAUGAGCAAUAACUAAAAGUACACAUUUGCACUGUUACAAAUGCCCAACAAA